CAGUCGCCGCGGUAAUACGGAGGGGGCUAGCGUUGUUCGGAAUUACUGGGCGUAAAGCGCACGUAGGCGGCUUGGUAAGUUAGAGGUGAAAGCCCGGAGCUCAACUCCGGAAUUGCCUUUAAGACUGCCGAGCUAGCAGGUGAGAGAGGUAAGUGGAAUUCCGAGUGUAGAGGUGAAAUUCGUAGAUAUUCGGAAGAACACCAGUGGCGAAGGCGGCUUACUGGCUCAUACUGGACGCUGAGGUGCGAAAGCGUGGGGAGCAAACAGGAUUAGAUACCCCAGUAGUCCCUGUCUCUUAUAC
rnacentral:rRNA from 1 species